rnacentral:rRNA from 1 species
CAGCAGCCGCGUAAUACGAAGAGUGCAAGCGUUACUCGGAAUUACUGGGCGUAAAGCGUGCGUAGGUGGUGGUUUAAGUCCGUUGUGAAAGCCCUGGGCUCAACCUGGGAAUUGCAGUGGAUACUGGGUCACUAGAGUGUGGUAGAGGAUAGUGGAAUUUCCGGUGUAGCAGUGAAAUGCGUAGAGAUCGGAAGGAACAUCUGUGGCGAAGGCGACUAUCUGGGCCAACACUGACACUGAGGCACGAAAGCGUGGGGAGCAAACAGGAUUAGAUACCCCGGUAGUCCCUGUCUCUUAUACA